GAUGAACGCUGGCGGCGUGCCUAAUACAUGCAAGUCGAGCGAACAGACGAGGAGCUUGCUCCUCUGACGUUAGCGGCGGACGGGUGAGUAACACGUGGAUAACCUACCUAUAAGACUGGGAUAACUUCGGGAAACCGGAGCUAAUACCGGAUAAUAUAUUGAACCGCAUGGUUCAAUAGUGAAAGACGGUUUUGCUGUCACUUAUAGAUGGAUCCGCGCCGCAUUAGCUAGUUGGUAAGGUAACGGCUUACCAAGGAAACGAUGCGUAGCCGACCUGAGAGGGUGAUCGGCCACACGGGAACUGAGACACGGUCCAGACGCCUACGGGAGGCAGCAGUAGGGAAUCUUCCGCAAUGGGCGAAAGCUUGACGGAGCAACGCCGCGUGAGUGAUGAAGGUCUUCGGAUCGUAAAACUCUGUUAUUAGGGAAGAACAAAUGUGUAAGUAACUAUGCACGUCUUGACGGUACCUAAUCAGAAAGCCACGGCUAACUACGUG
rnacentral:rRNA from 1 species